rnacentral:rRNA from 1 species
CUAAGGCUCCAGAGGAAGCCACGGCUAACUCUGUGCCAGCAGCCGCGGUAAUACAGAGGCGGCAAGCGUUGUUCGGAAUUACUGGGCGUAAAGAGCACGUAGGCGGCCUUGCAAGUCAGUUGUGAAAGCCUUCCGCUUAACGGAAGAAUGCCAGCUGAUACUACAGGGCUUGAGUACGGGAGGGGAGAGUGGAACUUCUGGUGGAGCGGUGAAAUGCGUAGAUAUCAGAAGGAACGCCGGCGGCGGAAGCGACUCUCUGGCCCGAAACUGACGCUGAGUGUGCGAAAGCUAGGGGAGCAAACGGGAUUAGAUACCCCGGUAGUCCUAGCCGUAAA